rnacentral:rRNA from 1 species
UGGGGGAAUAUUGGACAAUGGGCGCAAGCCUGAUCCAGCAAUGCCGCGUGUGUGAAGAAGGCCUUCGGGUUGUAAAGCACUUUUAUCAGGAGCGAAACGCUGUCGGCUAAUACCCGGCGGAACUGACGGUACCUGAGGAAUAAGCACCGGCUAACUUCGUGCCAGCAGCCGCGGUAAUACGAAGGGUGCAAGCGUUAAUCGGAAUUACUGGGCGUAAAGCGUGCGUAGGCGGUUUCUUAAGUCUGCUGUGAAAUCCCCGGGCUCAACCUGGGAAUGGCAGUGGAUACUGGGAGGCUAGAGUGUGUCAGAGGGUGGUGGAAUUCCCGGUGUAGCGGUGAAAUGCGUAGAGAUCGGGAGGAACAUCAGUGGCGAAGGCGGCCACCUGGGACAACACUGACGCUGAGGCACGAAAGCGUGGGGAGCAAACAGGAUUAGAUACCCUGGUAGUCCACGCCCUAAACGAUGCGAACUGGAUGUUGGUCUCAACUCGGAGAUCAGUGUCGAAGCUAACGCGUUAAGUUCGCCGCCUGGGGAGUACGGUCGCAAGACUGAAACUCAAAUGAAUUGAC